GACGUAGGGCGCGAGCGUUGUCCGGAUUUAUUGGGCGUAAAGGGCGCGUAGGCGGCCACCGCAAGUCGACUGUGAAAUCUCCGGGCUUAACCCGGAAAGGUCAGCCGAUACUGCGGGGCUAGAGUGCAGAAGGGGCAACUGGAAUUCUCGGUGUAGCGGUGAAAUGCGUAGAUAUCGAGAGGAACACCUGCGGCGAAGGCGGGUUGCUGGGCUGACAUUGACGCUGAUGUGCGAAAGCUAGGGGAGCGAACGGG
rnacentral:rRNA from 1 species